rnacentral:tRNA from 4 species
GCGGGGGUGGCAGAGCCUGGUCAAAUGCGCAGGACUCAGAAUCCUGUUCCUUAGUGGAUGCGCGUGUUCGAAUCACGUCCCCCGCA